GACGAACGCUGGCGGCGUGCUUAACACAUGCAAGUCGAACGGAAAGGCCCCUUUGGGGGUCCUCGAGUGGCGAACGGGUGAGUAACACGUGAGUAACCUGCCCUUGAUUUCGGGAUAACUUCAGGAAACUGGGGCUAAUACCGGAUAGGAAUCCUUGCUGCAUGGUGGGGGUUGGAAAGCUUCUGCGGUUUUGGGUGGACUGGCGGCGUAUCAGCUUGUUGGUGGGGUAGUGGCUUACCAAGGCUUUGACGGGUAGCCGGCCUGAGAGGGCGACCGGCCACACUGGGACUGAGGUACGGCCCAGACUCCUACGGGAGGCAGCAGUGGGGAAUCUUGCACAAUGGGCGGAAGCCUGAUGCAGCAACGCCGCGUGCGGGAUGACGGCCUUCGGGUUGAAAACCGCUUUCAGCAGGAGCGAAGCUUGUGGUGACGGUACCUGCAGAAGAAGCACCGGCUAACUACGUG
rnacentral:rRNA from 1 species